GCGGGAUGAGCUCAAGCUUAAAAUCUCUGUGCAGGUUCUGCAUGGCGAAUUGUAGUCUAUGGAGGCGAUGUCAGUGCGGUUGUGCGGGAUAAGUUCCUUGGAAGAGGACAGCAUCGAGGGUGAUACUCCCGUAUGUGCCUGUACAGCUGCGCGUACGACACGUUUUCUUUGAGUCGCGUUGUUUGGGAAUGCAGCGCAAAGUAGGUGGUAAAUUCCAUCUAAAGCUAAAUAUUGGUGCGAGACCGAUAGCGAACAAGUACCGUGAGGGAAAGAUGAAAAGAACUUUGAAAAGAGAGUUAAAGAGUACCUGAAACUGCUGAAAGGGAAUCGAAUCGUUUCCAGUGUCUAUAAUCCAUGACAUAUUUCAUUGGCGCGUGAAUGCGUGCAGCGUUUUGGAAGUGGGUUUCCUCUCCUGGCGUUGUUGUGCGUUUGCUUGCUGGUGCCCUGUGUUGUGGUGGGACGUCAGAGUCAGUUCGUAUGCCGCGGGAAAUGGCUGUCAGGGAGGUAGGUCGCUUCGGUGAUUGUUAUAGCCUGGCAGUUAGUAGUCGUGGUUGGGACUGAGGUGCCUACAACGCGCUUUCGAGUCUGCGGGACUCUCGUCUGGUUGCCUGCUUGGACAGCUUGCUGUGCUAGUGGUCACAUCGGGCGAUUGAGAUCUGUAGUAACUUGUUGCCGU
rnacentral:rRNA from 1 species